rnacentral:rRNA from 1 species
GAUGAACGCUGGCGGCGUGCCUAAUACAUGCAAGUCGAGCGAACAGACGAGGAGCUUGCUCCUCUGACGUUAGCGGCGGACGGGUGAGUAACACGUGGAUAACCUACCUAUAAGACUGGGAUAACUUCGGGAAACCGGAGCUAAUACCGGAUAAUAUAUUGAACCGCAUGGUUCAAUCGUGACAGACGGUUUUGCUGUCACUUCUAGAUGGAUGCGUGCCGCAUUAGCUAGUUGGUAAGGUAACGGCUUACCAAGGCAGCGAUGCGUAGCCGACCUGAGAGGGUGAUCGGCCACACUGGAACUGAGACACGGUCCAGACUCCUACGGGAGGCAGCAGUAGGGAAUCUUCCGCAAUGGGCGAAAGCCUGACGGAGCAACGCCGCGUGAGUGAUGAAGGUCUUCGGAUCGUAAAACUCUGUUAUUAGGGAAGAACAAAUGUGUAAGUAACUAUGCACGUCUUGACGGUACCUAAUCAGAAAGCCACGGCUAACUACGUGCCAGCAGCCGCGGUAA